rnacentral:rRNA from 1 species
CCUACGGGGUGCAGCAGUGGGGAAUAUUGGACAAUGGGCGAAAGCCUGAUCCAGCCAUGCCGCGUGUGUGAAGAAGGCCUUCGGGUUGUAAAGCACUUUCAGUGGGGAAGAAAGCCUUGGGGCUAAUACCCUCGAGGAAGGACAUCACCCACAGAAGAAGCACCGGCUAACUCCGUGCCAGCAGCCGCGGUAAUACGGAGGGUGCGAGCGUUAAUCGGAAUUACUGGGCGUAAAGCGCGCGUAGGCGGUCUGAUAAGCCGGUUGUGAAAGCCCCGGGCUCAACCUGGGAACGGCAUCCGGAACUGUCAGGCUAGAGUGCAGGAGAGAAAGGUGGAAUUCCCGGGGUAGCGGUGAAUGCGUAGAGAUCGGGAGGAAUACCAGUGGCGAAGGCGGCCUUCUGGACUGACACUGACGCUGAGGUGCGAAAGCGUGGGUAGCAAACAGGAUUAGAUACCCCUGUAGUC